rnacentral:rRNA from 1 species
AUGGAAACACUGAAUGCCCACUCUAUUCAACUAGAACCCUAUUUUUCUAGUUCUUAUGAUGCACCGGGAGCUUAUAGACAAAAAAAAACUAAUCAGUUUAAUAGUCCCUUAUGGCUACGGUGGAACCUCGAUCAACGUGUCAUUGGGUCAAGAGAAGCUUUGAUUGAAGUUCAAUAUGAAUCUUUGGGUACUUAUCAUGAUAUUUAUGGUCCGGUUAAGGGCAACUCUAAUAUGGAUUACCGAAUUGACCACAAAUGUUUGGACCGUUUGUUAAGGGCUGCUCUAAUUCAUCAAAUCGACCGCAAAUGCCUGGACUGCUUGGGCCAAAGACAAGAGCAAGUCCGAUCAUCAAAUCAACCACAAAUGUUUGGACUUUCCAGCCCGAACACUUACCCAUCCAAUGGCUUCUCGUCCGGACACUUUUACCCAUCCAGUGAUAGUUAA